CGCUGGCGGCGUGCCUAAUACAUGCAAGUAGAACGCUGAAGGAGGAGCUUGCUUCUCUGGAUGAGUUGCGAACGGGUGAGUAACGCGUAGGUAACCUGCCUGGUAGCGGGGGAUAACUAUUGGAAACGAUAGCUAAUACCGCAUAAGAGUAGAUGUUGCAUGACAUUUGCUUAAAAGGUGCAAUUGCAUCACUACCAGAUGGACCUGCGUUGUAUUAGCUAGUUGGUGUGGUAACGGCUCACCAAGGCGACGAUACAUAGCCGACCUGAGAGGGUGAUCGGCCACACUGGGACUGAGACACGGCCCAGACUCCUACGGGAGGCAGCAGUAGGGAAUCUUCGGCAAUGGACGGAAGUCUGACCGAGCAACGCCGCGUGAGUGAAGAAGGUUUUCGGAUCGUAAAGCUCUGUUGUAAGAGAAGAAACGAGUGUGAGAAGUGGAAAGUUCAC
rnacentral:rRNA from 1 species